UACGUAGGGGGCUAGCGUUGUCCGGAAUCAUUGGGCGUAAAGCGCGUGUAGGCGGUCCGGUAAGUCCGCUGUGAAAGUCGGGGGCUCAACCCUCGGAUGCCGGUGGAUACUGUCGGGCUUGAGUACGGAAGAGGCGAGUGGAAUCCUGGUGUAGCGGUGAAAUGCGCAGAUAUCAGGAGGAACACCAAUGGCGAAGGCAGCUCGCUGGGACGGUACUGACGCUGAGGCGCGAAAGCGUGGGGAGCAAACAGG
rnacentral:rRNA from 1 species